GAGGAGUCGGAGGGAGCGGGCGUCGGAGGAGGAGGAACCCUAAAAGGGGCUAAGUAGGUAGCGGAGGUGGUUUAGCGUCUCUGGUUGGUCGGGGAGAGCUAGGGCAUCCUAGGGCUCGCGGAGGGUAAACGAGGAAGGAGGUACCGCGGCAGCGACGGCCGCGCGGAUCGGUGGACUUUGCGCGGGGUAGAAGAGGCAGCUGGUCCUGGCUGGAGCAGGGCGAGGAGAGGAAGGAGAGACCAAGAAGAAGGAGAGAGAGUGGGGAGAUAUAGAAACAAACUCGUCCUCGGGGUACUGCGGCGGAACCAACCGAUGGGCUCGAAGCGACCGGAGAUCGGGGACGGCGGCGCUUAGGCCGCUCUGGGAGGAACUUUUGGCGCGGACACGGGACCUAGGCAGCUGGGGUGGCGGAGGCCACUGAGGGGAGGCAAGGGGCGACAAGGAGUACGGCAGAAGUAGGGCGCGCUCGAGGUCACGACGUCGAGGAGAAAAAAAGGAUAGCUUGUCUCCUCUGCGCGGGCAUCGGAGGGGUGGAGCGUGCAGACCCGGUCGGUCGCGGUUCGAUCCGGGUCAGUGCGGUCUAGGCCGAACGUCCCGAGGGGAGAGGUGGUCGACCCGGUUCCGGGCUAAAGGCUAUUGCAGUGCAAACACUCCUAGGCAAGCAGAUGCAGGCAAACAGAGGAAGUACCUGAGCAAGAAGAAGGAACGCCCUAGAGUCAACGUCCACGGCUACUAUGUCACGUCCACUACGAUGGUUCGAGUUCACCCUCGAGCUACUUCUAGCACAAAGAAUACAACAAAGCAAAGGGGCAACUAGUCAUCACCUCGGGUCAACCCCGCUAGCUCCUAGAUCGUAAACCCCAAUAGAAGAAAAUAAAACCAAGGCAUCAACCUGGAACUAACAUAAGACCUACUACAUACAAAUCGAACAUAAACACACUUCACCGCUUACAUUCGGCAAAGAAAUAGGG
rnacentral:rRNA from 1 species